CACGUAGGGUGCGAGCGUUGUCCGGAAUUAUUGGGCGUAAAGAGCUCGUAGGCGGUGUGUCGCGUCGGCCGUGAAAACCUGCAGCUUAACUGUGGGCUUGCGGUCGAUACGGGCAUCACUGGAGUUCGGCAGGGGAGACUGGAAUUCCUGGUGUAGCGGUGAAAUGCGCAGAUAUCAGGAGGAACACCAGUGGCGAAGGCGACACCUGGCCUGUUCUUGACGCUGAGGCGCGAAAGCUAGGGGAGCAAACGGG
rnacentral:rRNA from 1 species